UCUUUUACAAACACAUGAUUCUUCUACCUUCGUGGAGUCCUACGGGAAUACCUCGGCCACUGGUGAAUGCCAAAACCGGUUAGUGGAGGCAAAGAAGAAAAAAGCGUAAAAGAAAGAAAAGAAAGGGCAGAAAAAGAAAAAGAAAAUGAGAAAAAAAUAAUGAGAAAGAUAUAGAAAAGACGGAGAAAAAAAAAAGAUACA
rnacentral:lncRNA from 1 species